rnacentral:tRNA from 1 species
AAGGAUUUAAGUUAAAAAAAACUUGUAACCUUCAAAGUUUCAAAUAAAGAUUAUAAUCUUUAAGCCUUA